rnacentral:rRNA from 1 species
GAACGCUGGCGGCGUGCCUAAUACAUGCAAGUCGAACGCACAGCGAAAGGUGCUUGCACCUUUCAAGUGAGUGGCGAACGGGUGAGUAACACGUGGAUAACCUACCUCAAGGUUGGGGAUAACAUUUGGAAACAGAUGCUAAUACCGAAUAAAACUUAGUAUCGCAUGAUACCAGGUUAAAAGGCGCUACGGCGUCACCUAGAGAUGGAUCCGCGGUGCAUUAGUUAGUUGGUGGGGUAAAGGCUUACCAAGACAAUGAUGCAUAGCCGAGUUGAGAGACUGAUCGGCCACAUUGGGACUGAGACACGGCCCAAACUCCUACGGGAGGCUGCAGUAGGGAAUCUUCCACAAUGGGCGAAAGCCUGAUGGAGCAACGCCGCGUGUGUGAUGAAGGCUUUCGGGUCGUAAAGCACUGUUGUAUGGGAAGAACAGCUAGAGUAGGGAAUGACUUUAGUUUGACGGUACCAUACCAGAAAGGGACGGCUAAAUACGUGCCAGCAGCCGCGGUAAUACGUAUGUCCCGAGCGUUAUCCGGAUUUAUUGGGCGUAAAGCGAGCGCAGACGGUUAAUUAAGUCUGAUGUGAAAGCCCGGAGCUCAACUCCGGAAAGGCAUUGGAAACUGGUCAACUUGAGUGCAGUAGAGGUAAGUGGAACUCCAUGUGUAGCGGUGGAAUGCGUAGAUAUAUGGAAGAACACCAGCGGCGAAGGCGGCUUACUGGACUGUAACUGACGUUGAGGCUCGAAAGUGUGGGUAGCAAACAGGAUUAGAUACCCUGGUAGUCCACACCGUAAACGAUGAACACUAGGUGUUAGGA